rnacentral:misc_RNA from 1 species
UUUUAUUUUCUAUGUAUAGCACGUUUAAUUUUGUAUGUGUAAUAAAGUAUAUAUGGAUUAUAAUAUUAUCUUUUUAUUUUUCCUCGUCGUUCGUUAUUCUCACUUUCCAUACAUCUUUCUCUUAUCUCCUACGUUCACCUCUCACAGUCUUUGUUCGUCUUCCUUUAUUCACGCUUUCAUUCACACACUAUAUACUCUACAGUCUAUGGUCUAUAGAUUAUUCUAAUUUCAAAAAAAGGCUCUUUUUCCACGCGGAGAAGACAGAAACGAGGAAGUUGGUUCGUUCGGGUGUAAUGAAAUCGAGGUCGUGAUACACGAGCUGUGAAACGAGCUUCAAGGCGCAUUCGCAACGACCGUGUCGUCGUCUGUUCGGCCGUGAUAAUUGAGAAACUGGUGGUAUGGCGGGGUAUACGAGGGUGUAGCCACUCGUCGAAUGAAUGCAAUAUCGCAGACACGCGAGAAGAGGCUGAAGGUAUCGAGGGGAUAAAUCGAACGCGGUUUCAGACGAUUCCUCGCGACGCGCUUCUGAGAACGUCGGUCUCGUUCAAAAAAAGAAAAGAAAAAAAAGAAAGAAGGGAAAAAAACGAAUGAACCGAUGAAUGAAAUCCCCCACGGAGAUAUUCACGCCAACUUCUUUCCGCAAUUAACGCCCCACUGAACGACAGACGCCAGUCUCGUUUCAACAAUGCCGAUCGAAUCACGCGAGAUCGAUUGCAUUUUGUUUGAGCGAUUGGAUUUUUUCAAUGUGUCGUUUGAAAUUGCUUUAUAGCAAUAUAUCUGCAGUUGCAGGUGCUUAUUCAAUUGUACGAGACUUAAAAUCGACUCAAAUUAAUUUUGGCAACAAAUGGAUCGGUAGAAUGG